ACGCUGGCGGCGUGCCUAAUACAUGCAAGUAGAACGCUGAAGGAGGAGCUUGCUUCUCCGGAUGAGUUGCGAACGGGUGAGUAACGCGUAGGUAACCUGCCUGGUAGCGGGGGAUAACUAUUGGAAACGAUAGCUAAUACCGCAUAAGAGUAGAUGUUGCAUGACAUUUGCUUAAAAGGUGCAAUUGCAUCACUACCAGAUGGACCUGCGUUGUAUUAGCUAGUUGGUGGGGUAACGGCUCACCAAGGCGACGAUACAUAGCCGACCUGAGAGGGUGAUCGGCCACACUGGGACUGAGACACGGCCCAGACUCCUACGGGAGGCAGCAGUAGGGAAUCUUCGGCAAUGGACGGAAGUCUGACCGAGCAACGCCGCGUGAGUGAAGAAGGUUUUCGGAUCGUAAAGCUCUGUUGUAAGAGAAGAACGAGUGUGAGAGUGGAAAGUUCACACUGUGACGGUAUCUUACCAGAAAGGGACGGCUAACUACGUGCCAGCAGCCGCGGUAAUACGUAGGUCCCGAGCGUUGUCCGGAUUUAUUGGGCGUAAAGCGAGCGCAGGCGGUUAGAUAAGUCUGAAGUUAAAGGCUGUGGCUUAACCAUAGUACGCUUUGGAAACUGUUUAACUUGAGUGCAAGAGGGGAGAGUGGAAUUCCAUGUGUAGCGGUGAAAUGCGUAGAUAUAUGGAGGAACACCGGUGGCGAAAGCGGCUCUCUGGCUUGUAACUGACGCUGAGGCUCGAAAGCGUGGGGGAGCAAACAGGAUUAGAUACCCUGGUAGUCCACGCCGUAAACGAUGAUGCUAGUGUUAGACCCUUUCCGGGUUUAGUGCGCAGCUAACGCAUUAGCACUCCGCCUGGGGAGUACGAC
rnacentral:rRNA from 1 species